rnacentral:rRNA from 1 species
ACAUGCAGUCGAGCGAAUUUGAUGGAGAGCUGUGCUCCCUGAAAUUAGCGGCGGACGGGUGAGUAACACGUGGGCAACCUACCUGUAAGCCUGGGAUAACUUCGGGAAACCGGAGCUAAUACCGGAUAAUUUCUUUCUUCACGUGGAGAGAGGUUGAAAGACGGCUUUGCUGUCACUUACGAAUGGGCCCCCGGCGCAUUACCUAGUUGGUGAGGUAACGGCUCACCAAGGCCACAAUGCGUACCCAACCUGAAAGGGUGAUCGGCCACCCUGGAACUGAAACACGGCCCAAACUCCUACGGGAGGCACCAGUAGGGAAUCUUCCCCAAGGGACAAAAGUCUGACGGACCAACCCCCCGUGAGUGAAGAAGGUCUUCGGAUCGUAAAACUCUGUUAUCAGGGAAAAACAAGUACCGGAGUUACUGCCGGUACCUUGACGGUACCUGACCAGAAACCACGGCUAACUACGUGCCACAGCCGCGGUAAUACGUAGGUGGCAAGCGUUGUCCGGAAUAUUGGGCGUAAAGCGCGCGCAGGCGGUUCUUUAGUCUGAUGUGAAUCUUGCGGCUCAACCGUGAGCGGCAUUGGAACUGGAGACUUGAGUGCAGAAGAGAAGAGCGGAAUUCCCGUGUAGCGGUGAAAUGCGUAGAGAUGUGGAGGAACACCAGUGGCGAAGGCGCUCUCUGGCUGUACUG